rnacentral:rRNA from 1 species
GACGAACGCUGGCGGCGUGCUUAACACAUGCAAGUCGAACGGUGAAGGGGCCUGCUUUUGUGGGCCCUGGAUGAGUGGCGAACGGGUGAGUAACACGUGAGUAGCCUGCCCCCUUCUUCUGGAUAACCGCAUGAAAGUGUGGCUAAUACGGGAUAUUCUGGGUCUGUCGCAUGAUGGGUCUGGGAAAGAUUGCGCCUUUGGGUGUUUUUGGUGGGGGAUGGGCUCGCGGCCUAUCAGCUUGUUGGUGGGGUGAUGGCCUACCAAGGCGGUGACGGGUAGCCGGCCUGAGAGGGUGGACGGUCACACUGGGACUGAGACACGGCCCAGACUCCUACGGGAGGCAGCAGUGGGGAAUAUUGCACAAUGGGCGCAAGCCUGAUGCAGCGACGCCGCGUGAGGGAUGGAGGCCUUCGGGUUGUAAACCUCUUUCGCCAGUGAAGCAGGCCUGCUCCUUGUGGGUGGGUUGACGGUAGCUGGAGAAGAAGCGCCGGCUAACUACGUG